GACGAACGCUGGCGGCGUGCCUAAUACAUGCAAGUUGAGCGCUGAAGGUUGGUACUUGUACCAACUGGAUGAGCAGCGAACGGGUGAGUAACGCGUGGGGAAUCUGCCUUUGAGCGGGGGACAACAUUUGGAAACGAAUGCUAAUACCGCAUAAAAACUUUAAACACAAGUUUUAAGUUUGAAAGAUGCAAUUGCAUCACUCAAAGAUGAUCCCGCGUUGUAUUAGCUAGUUGGUGAGGUAAAGGCGCACCAAGGCGAUGAUACAUAGCCGACCUGAGAGGGUGAUCGGCCACAUUGGGACUGAGACACGGCCCAAACGCCUACGGGAGGCAGCAGUAGGGAAUCUUCGGCAAUGGACGAAAGUCUGACCGAGCAACGCCGCGUGAGUGAAGAAGGUUUUCGGAUCGUAAAACUCUGUUGGUAGAGAAGAACGUUGGUGAGAGUGGAAAGCUCAGCAAGUGACGGUAACUACCCAGAAAGGGACGGUUAACUACGUG
rnacentral:rRNA from 1 species